UUCUGUUCCACCUGUGCACUGCCUGUAGACACUCUGUGUCUAUGAUAUUGGUUACACACACAUGAUGUUUUGCAUAUUGGUUACAUAUGUAUGAUAAUAUACAACUUUCAACAACGGAUCUCUUGGCUCUCGCAUCGAUGAAGAACACAGCGAAAUGUGAUAAGUAAUGUGAAUUGCAGAAUCCAGUGAAUCAUCGAAUCUUUGAACGCAUCUUGCGCUCCUUGGCAUUCCGAGGAGCAUGCCUGUUUGAGUGUCAUUAAACUAUCAAAGCACCUUUCCUGGGGUGUUUUGGACUUUGGGAGUAUUUUGCUGGCCUGUUUGAGCCAGCUCUCCUCAAAAGCAUUAGCUUUGGAGACCAUCAGUGUGAUAACUCUCUUUACACUGACUGAGUGUGUCUCUGCUUCUUAAAUAUGCUGGACACCCUUUGACCUCAAAUCAGGUAGGACUACCCGCUGAACUUAAGCAUAUCAAUAAGCGGAGGA
rnacentral:rRNA from 1 species